UACCAGCACCCCGAGUGGUCGGGACGUUUAUUGGGCCUAAAGCAUCCGUAGCCGGUUCUACAAGUCUUCCGUUAAAUCCACCUGCUUAACAGAUGGGCUGCGGAAGGUACUAUAGAGCUAGGAGGCGGGAGAGGCAAGCGGUACUCGAUGGGUAGGGUAAAAUCCGUUGAUCCAUUGAAGACCACCAGUGGCGAAGGCGGCUUGCCAGAACGCGCUCGACGGUGAGGGAUGAAAGCUGGGGGAGCAAACCGG
rnacentral:rRNA from 1 species